rnacentral:rRNA from 1 species
UACGGAGGGUGCAAGCGUUAUCCGGAUUCACUGGGUUUAAAGGGUGCGUAGGUGGGCAGUUAAGUCAGUGGUGAAAUCUCCGGGCUCAACCCGGAAACUGCCAUUGAUACUAUCUGUCUUGAAUAUCGUGGAGGUAAGCGGAAUAUGUCAUGUAGCGGUGAAAUGCUUAGAUAUGACACAGAACACCGAUUGCGUAGGCAGCUCGCUAAACUCUUACUGACGCUGAGGCACGAAAGCAUGGGGAUCAAACAGG